UUUGUAGGAGGAGGAGGUGGAGGGGGAGGGUUGAGAGGUCUAGGGUUUUUAAAAAGGGGGAGGCGACGCAGAACGAAACAAAGAGGAAGCAGAAAGUCGAGAGGGUCUCUGGAGGAGGAGGAGAAGGAGAAAACUGCGGCAACCAUGGAAUUCUCAACCAGAUACAUGGAAUUGUGAAGGAAGUCUCAUCCUACUCGAAGAACGAGAUGGAUGCAACGUACGAAAGAAUUGUAAAGGAAUUCUCAUCCUACAUGAAGAAAAUCGCAUUUGUUCCUAUCUCUGGGUUUGAGAUUGAUAGGUCCACCAGCAUUGACUACUACAUUGGACUUCUUCAGGCUCCCUACAGGAUGUGUACGAGAUUGGUGGCAUUGGAACUCUUCCGGUGCCGGUGGAGAAUGUAGCUCUUGCCAAACACCCUCAAGUGUCUACUCUGAGCGCUUUCCGUAGUGUCGGCGUCGGUGAUGGAUUGUUUGCAGCUGUCUAUGUGGACAAAGUGUUGAAGGUUCUUCUGGUUUUGACAUUGGAAAUUAGUUUCCUGGCAUUGUCCUUUACCCAGUGAAUUGAUACCAUGUCCCCGGUAAUAUGACUCUUGGAGAAUUCAUCUUAUUCAUUCGGGUUAGCAUCAGGAUAAGCAAAAAAAGGCCAAUAUUUGUCUCUUUCAAGAACACUAAACCUCCCGUUGGUGCUUUGUUUUAUGAAAUCGAUGAGCAAAAUGAGGGCAAAGAUGGAUUUCUGCACAUUACCUACGGUGGGGGAGAGAAUGUUUGUGGAUCAAAUGAAGAGCAAGAACAUGGGGAUAAAAUCUCUUUCGAGAAUGAAAAUUCUCAGGAAGCUGCGAACAAUCCACAUGCAAUACCAGUCCACCGAAGCAGAAUAUAAUUCUCAUGAAAUCUGCAAGGAGGAUUGACAAUAUUCCCGACAACAACCCCAUUGAACCUGCCAGGGGUGAGUUGCAGCUCAAUUUGGUUUUACGCGUAGCAAUUUGUUUCCCAUAUAUAGUUGUGGUUGUAAUAAUUCAUCCCACGUUGUAGGUGCCUGGUUGUCUGCAAUCAAUGAGAGAAACAAUGAUAAGUCGUAUUUCUUCACAUCAGUCAGAAAGGAAGAGAAUGUUUGUGGAUCAUCCAAUGAAGAGCGAGAAUGGCUUGAGUAACUCAUCCGAUUCCGGAGUCAGAGUACAUGCUCUUCAUAUUCCCCCACACCCUUCAUUUCUUUCCUUUUCCUGAUAUCAUUAUAAAAGAAAAAUGAAAAGCGCUUGAUGUUUCUUCUUUUUUUUAGGCCUCUUUACAAAUCUAUUGUUGGGUUAAAUUUGAUGGUUCAUGUUCAUCGACUUUGCUUUGGGUGCGCUGUCAAGUAAAUCCGAUUCCGAAGACAACCUUGCAGAUCUCUUGACCAAGUUUAUGUUGAAGUCUAGAUUCUAGAAGUCUGUUCAAGGUAUUGGAUUGCGUAAAUUAUCGAAAAUGAAACGUUUGUAGGUAAGUUAUGCCCAAAUUAGGGGAGUAUCCAAAGCAUACCCACUUUACCAUUAUGUAUUGUAUUUCUCUUCGAUUAUGAACAUUUUUCGAAUUGAGUUUAUCGCUCAACCCUACCGCAGCCGACUCAAUUUCUGAGUUUAUAGUGGAUGAAAAUGGUGCAACACAUAUUUAGGGUUCAUGUAAACAUCUCUGUAAUCGAAACAUCUUGGCAUUACAAAUUGCAAAUUACAAAUUUAAGGUUCAUUUUCUCAGCUUUUGUUAAAUGUGCAAACAUUGACGUGCAUUACAAAAGAAAUAUUGGGCGAGAUAAUCAAGAAUUUUAGUAUGUAGCAAAGUUUAUUAUCAAGUAUCAACCAACGCAACAUAGUUGUUU